rnacentral:rRNA from 1 species
GAUUUCUGGCUUGUCACCUGCGGCCGGCCACGGUCUUCGUGUGUUAGUGCUGCCGGUGCUGGCCAUCCUUCCCAUCGCACCGCUCACGUCUUCAUUGAUGCGGGCGGCGUAUGGGAUCGUUUACUUUGAAAAAAUUAGAGUGUUUCAAGCAGGCUUUAUGCUAUGAAUACAUUAGCAUGGAAUAAUAAUUUAGGACUUCGGUUCUAUUUUGUUGGUUUCUAGGACGGAAGUAAUGAUUGAUAGGGAUAGUUGGGGGUGCUAGUAUUCAGCGGCCAGAGGUGAAAUUCUUGGAUUCGCUGAAGACUAACUUAUGCGAAAGCAUU